GACGAACGCUGGCGGCGUGCUUAACACAUGCAAGUCGAACGGCAACGCCCUGCUUUUGUGGGGUGCUCGAGUGGCGAACGGGUGAGUAACACGUGAGUAACCUGCCCUUGACUUUGGGUUAACUUCAGGAAACUGGGGCUAAUACCGGAUCGGAGCUCCUGCUGCAUGGUGGGGGUUUGAAAGUUUGCGCGGUUGGGGAUGGACUCGCGGCUUAUCAGCUUGUUGGUGGGGUAGUGGUUUACCAAGGCCUUGACGGGUAGCCGGCCUGAGAGGGUGACCGGCCACAUUGGGACUGAGAUACGGCCCAGACGCCUACGGGAGGCAGCGGGGGGGAGUAUUGCACAGUGAGCGGAAGCCUGAGACAGCGACGCCGCGUGCGGGAUGACGGCCUUCGGGUUGUAAACCGCUUGCGCCUGUGACGAAGCGUGAGUGACGGUAAUGGAUGAAGAAGCACCGGCUAACUACGUG
rnacentral:rRNA from 1 species